rnacentral:rRNA from 1 species
AUUGAACGCUGGCGGCAUGCUUUACACAUGCAAGUCGAACGGUAACAGGCCGCAAGGUGCUGACGAGUGGCGAACGGGUGAGUAAUGCAUCGGAACGUGCCCAGUCGUGGGGGAUAACUACUCGAAAGAGUAGCUAAUACCGCAUACGAUCUAUGGAUGAAAGCGGGGGACCGUAAGGCCUCGCGCGAUUGGAGCGGCCGAUGUCAGAUUAGGUAGUUGGUGGGGUAAAGGCUCACCAAGCCAACGAUCUGUAGCUGGUCUGAGAGGACGACCAGCCACACUGGGACUGAGACACGGCCCAGACUCCUACGGGAGGCAUCAGUGGGGAAUUUUGGACAAUGGGCGCAAGCCUGAUCCAGCAAUGCCGCGUGCAGGAAGAAGGCCUUCGGGUUGUAAACUGCUUUUGUACGGAACGAAACGGCUCUGGUUAAUACCCGGGGCUAACGACGGUACCGUAAGAAUAAGCACCGGCUAACUACGUG